UACGUAGGGCGCGAGCGUUGUCCGGAAUUAUUGGGCGUAAAGGGCUCGUAGGCGGUUUGUCGCGUCGGGAGUGAAGACCAGGUGCUUAACACCUGGCUUGCUUUCGAUACGGGCAGACUAGAGGUAUGCAGGGGAGAACGGAAUUCCUGGUGUAGCGGUGAAAUGCGCAGAUAAUCAGGAGGAACACCGGUGGCGAAGGCGGAUCUCUGGGCCAUUACUGACGCUGAGGAGCGAAAGCGUGGGGAGCGAACAGG
rnacentral:rRNA from 1 species